UCCACACUGCCAAGAAAAGCCUCUAGCGAGGUGAGAGGUGCCCGUACCGCAAACCGACACAGGUAGGCGAGGAGAGAAUCCUAAGGUGAUCGAGAGAACUCUCGUUAAGGAACUCGGCAAAAUGACCCCGUAACUUCGGGAGAAGGGGUGCUCUGUUAGGGUGCAAGCCCGAGAGAGCCGCAGUGAAUAGGCCCAGGCGACUGUUUAGCAAAAACACAGGUCUCUGCGAAGCCGUAAGGCGAAGUAUAGGGGCUGACGCCUGCCCGGUGCUGGAAGGUUAAGAGGAGCGCUUAGCGUAAGCGAAGGUGCGAAUUGAAGCCCCAGUAAACGGCGGCCGCAACUAUAACGGUCCUAAGGUAGCGAAAUUCCUUGUCGGGUAAGUUCCGACCCGCACGAAAGGCGCAACGAUCUGGGCACUGUCUCAACGAGAGACUCGGUGAAAUUAUAGUACCUGUGAAGAUGCAGGUUACCCGCGACAGGACGGAAAGACCCCGUGGAGCUUUACUGCAGCCUGAUAUUGAAUGUUGGUACAGCUUGUACAGGAUAGGUAGGAGCCUUGGAAACCGGAGCGCCAGCUUCGGUGGAGGCAUCGGUGGGAUACUACCCUGGCUGUAUUGACCUUCUAACCCGCCGCCCUUAUCGGGCGGGGAGACAGUGUCAGGUGGGCAGUUUGACUGGGGCGGUCGCCUCCUAAAAGGUAACGGAGGCGCCCAAAGGUUCCCUCAGAAUGGUUGGAAAUCAUUCGCAGAGUGUAAAGGCACAAGGGAGCUUGACUGCGAGACCUACAAGUCAGGCAGGGACGAAAGUCGGGCUUAGUUAUCCGGUGGUUCCGCAUGGAAGGGCCAUCGCUCAACGGAUAAAAGCUACCCCGGGGAUAACAGGCUUAUCUCCCCCAAGAGUCCACAUCGACGGGGAGGUUUGGCACCUCGAUGUCGGCUCAUCGCACCCUGGGGCUGUAGUCGGUCCCAAGGGUUGGGCUGUUCGCCCAUUAAAGCGGUACGCGAGCUGGGUUCAGAACGUCGUGAGACAGUUCGGUCCCUAUCCGUCGCGGGCGCAGGAAAUUUGAGAGGAGCUGUCCUUAGUACGAGAGGACCGGGAUGGACGCACCGCUGGUGUACCAGUUGUUCUGCCAAGGGCAUCGCUGGGUAGCUAUGUGCGGACGGGAUAAGUGCUGAAAGCAUCUAAGCAUGAAGCCCCCCUCAAGAUGAGAUUUCCCAUUCCGCAAGGAAGUAAGAUCCCUGAAAGAUGAUCAGGUUGAUAGGUCUGAGGUGGAAGUGUGGCGACACAUGGAGCUGACAGAUACUAAUCGAUCGAGGACUUAACC
rnacentral:rRNA from 1 species